rnacentral:rRNA from 1 species
GGUUGUAAACUUCUUUUAUAUUAGAAUAAAGUGCAGUAUGUAUACUGUUUUGUAUGUAUAAUAUGAAUAAGGAUCGGCUAACUCCGUGCCAGCAGCCGCGGUAAUACGGAGGAUCCGAGCGUUAUCCGGAUUUAUUGGGUUUAAAGGGAGCGUAGGUGGACUGGUAAGUCAGUUGUGAAAGUUUGCGGCUCAACCGUAAAAUUGCAGUUGAUACUGUCAGUCUUGAGUACAGUAGAGGUGGGCGGAAUUCGUGGUGUAGCGGUGAAAUGCUUAGAUAUCACGAAGAACUCCGAUUGCGAAGGCAGCUCACUGGACUGCAACUGACACUGAUGCUCGAAAGUGUGGGUAUCAAACAGGAUUAGAUACCCUGGUAGUCCACACAGUAAACGAUGAAUACUCGCUGUUUGCGAUAUACAGUAAGCGGCCAAGCGAAAGCAUUAAGUAUUCCACCUGGGGAGUACGCCGGCAACGGUGAAACUCAAAGGAAUUGACGGGGGCCCGCACAAGCGGAGGAACAUGUGGUUUAAUUCGAUGAUACGCGAGGAACCUUACCCGGGCUUAAAUUGCAGUGGAAUGAUGUGGAAACAUGUCAGUGAGCAAUCACCGCUGUGAAGGUGCUGCAUGGUUGUCGUCAGCUCGUGCCGUGAGGUGUCGGCUUAAGUGCCAUAACGAGCGCAACCCUUAUCUUCAGUUACUAACAGGUCAUGCUGAGGACUCUGGAGAGACUGCCGUCGUAAGAUGUGAGGAAGGUGGGGAUGACGUCAAAUCAGCACGGCCCUUACGUCCGGGGCUACACACGUGUUACAAUGGGGGGUACAGAAGGCAGCUACCUGGUGACAGGAUGCUAAUCCCAAAAGCCUCUCUCAGUUCGGAUCGAAGUCUGCAACCCGACUUCGUGAAGCUGGAUUCGCUAGUAAUCGCGCAUCAGCCACGGCGCGGUGAAUACGUUCCCGGGCCUUGUACACACCGCCCGUCAAGCCAUGGGAGCCGGGGGUACCUGAAGUACGUAACCGCAAGGAGCGUCCUAGGGUAAAACUGGUGACUGGGGCUAAGUCGUAACAAGGUAGCCGUACCGGAAGGUGCGGCUGGAACACCUCCUUU